UGGGGAAUAUUGGACAAUGGGCGCAAGCCUGAUCCAGCCAUGCCGCGUGAGUGAUGAAGGCCCUAGGGUUGUAAAGCUCUUUCACCGGUGAAGAUAAUGACGGUAACCGGAGAAGAAGCCCCGGCUAACUUCGUGCCAGCAGCCGCGGUAAUACGAAGGGGGCUAGCGUUGUUCGGAUUUACUGGGCGUAAAGCGCACGUAGGCGGACUUUUAAGUCAGGGGUGAAAUCCCGGGGCUCAACCCCGGAACUGCCUUUGAUACUGGAAGUCUUGAGUAUGGUAGAGGUGAGUGGAAUUCCAUGUGUAGCGGUGAAAUUCGUAGAUAUUCGGAGGAACACCAGUGGCGAAGGCGGCUCACUGGACCAUUACUGACGCUGAGGUGCGAAAGCGUGGGGAGCAAACAGG
rnacentral:rRNA from 1 species